rnacentral:rRNA from 1 species
UACGGGGGGGGCAAGCGUUGUUCGGAAUUACUGGGCGUAAAGGGCGCGUAGGCGGCCCUCUAAGUCGAACGUGAAAUCCCCGGGCUCAACCCGGGAACUGCGUCCGAUACUGGAGGGCUCGAAUCCGGGAGAGGGAUGUGGAAUUCCAGGUGUAGCGGUGAAAUGCGUAGAUAUCUGGAGGAACAUCGGUGGCGAAGGCGGCAUCCUGGACCGGUAUUGACGCUGAGGCGCGAAAGCCAGGGGAGCAAACGGG